AUGCGGGUGGUGGCGCUGCGAUUGAACAGCACCGGGCUCGUCGGAGCACUCCCCCCAGUCAUCGGGAACCUCACCUUCCUACGCAAGCUGGAUCUGAGCUUCAACUUGCUCCACGGGGACAUUCCAGCCAGCCUCGGCCACCUCCGCCGCUUGAAGAGGCUCUACUUGUAUGACAACUCCUUUUCCGGCCCAGUCCCAGUGAAUUUAAGCUGGUGCACAAGCAUGAUCAUAAUGGGACUGUCCAACAACAAGCUUGGCGGGCACAUCCCGGCUGAGCUUGGCGAGAAGCUCAUGUCCCUGGAAGUGAGAAACAACAGUUUCACCGGGCCCAUCCCGGCAUCUCUGGAAAAUCUGUCCCAUCUACAAAUCCUCGACCUCUCCCAGAACCAGCUCAUGGGCUCAAUCCCACCAGGGCUCGGCAGCAACCAGAGCAUGCAAUAUUUCGAUCUCUUCGGAAACAACUUCUCUGGUAUGCUCCCACCUUCUCUCUAUAACUGGUCAUCCCUGGAAGUACUUAACGUAGGGGGAAAUAUGUUCUAUGGAAGCAUUCCAGGUGAUAUUGGAAGCAAGUUCCCCAAGUUGGAAUAUCUCAACCACUCUCCAACGGUUAUACUUAGAGGAUAA
rnacentral:rRNA from 1 species